UACGGAAGGGGCUAGCGUUGUUCGGAAUUACUGGGCGUAAAGAGCGCGUAGGCGGCUUACCAAGUUGGGGGUGAAAUCACGGAGCUCAACUCCGGAACUGCCUUCAAAACUGGUAGGCUCGAGUCCGGAAGAGGGGCGUGGAAUUCCCAGUGUAGAGGUGAAAUUCGUAGAUAUUGGGAAGAACACCGGUGGCGAAGGCGGCGCUCUGGUACGGUACUGACGCUGAGGCGCGAAAGCGUGGGGAGCAAACAGG
rnacentral:rRNA from 1 species